rnacentral:rRNA from 1 species
AUUGAACGCUGGCGGCAUGCCUUACACAUGCAAGUCGAACGGCAGCACGGGUGCUUGCACCUGGUGGCGAGUGGCGAACGGAUGAGUAAUACAUCGGAACGUACCUUAUCGUGGGGGAUAACGCAGCGAAAGCUGUGCUAAUACCGCAUACGCUCUGAGGGGGAAAGCGGGGGAUCGCAAGACCUCGCGCGAUUAGAGCGGCCGAUGCCUGAUUAGCUUGUUGGUGGGGUAAAAGCCCACCAAGGCGACGAUCAGUAGCUGGUCUGAGAGGACGAUCAGCCACACUGGGACUGAGACACGGCCCAGACUCCUACGGGAGGCAGCAGUGGGGAAUUUUGGACAAUGGGGGCAACCCUGAUCCAGCAAUGCCGCGUGAGUGAAGAAGGCCUUCGGGUUGUAAAGCUCUUUUGUCAGGGAAGAAACACCGGCUCUAACACAGUCCGGGAAUGACGGUACCUGAAGAAUAAGCACCGGCUAACUACGUGCCAGCAGCCGCCGCCG